rnacentral:rRNA from 1 species
UACGGGGGGGGGCAAGCGUUGUUCGGAAUUACUGGGCGUAAAGGGCUCGUAGGCGGCCAACUAAGUCAGACGUGAAAUCCCUCGGCUUAACCGGGGAACUGCGUCUGAUACUGGAUGGCUUGAGGUUGGGAGAGGGAUGCGGAAUUCCAGGUGUAGCGGUGAAAUGCGUAGAUAUCUGGAGGAACACCGGUGGCGAAGGCGGCAUCCUGGACCAACACUGACGCUGAGGAGCGAAAGCCAGGGGAGCAAACGGG